rnacentral:rRNA from 1 species
CUGCCAGACUCCUACGGGAGGCAGCAGUGGGGGAUAUUGCACAAUGGGGGGAACCCUGAUGCAGCGACGCCGCGUGGGUGAAGGAGUAUUUCGGUAUGUAAAGCCCUAUCGGCAGGGAAGAAGCAAGACGGUACCUGACUAAGAAGCCCCGGCUAACUACGUGCCAGCAGCCGCGGUAAUACGUAGGGGGCGAGCGUUAUCCGGAUUCACUGGGUGUAAAGGGAGCGUAGACGGCCAUGCAAGCCAGGGGUGAAAGCCCGGGGCCCAACCCCGGGACUGCAUUGGAAACUGCCGGGCUGGAGUGCCGGAGGGGCAAGCGGAAUUCCUGGUGUAGCGGUGAAAUGCGCAGAUAUCAGGAAGAACACCGGUGGCGCAGGCGGCUUGCUGGACGGCAACUGACGCUGAGGCUCGAAAGCGUGGGGAGCAAACAGGAUUAGAUACCCCGGUAAG